rnacentral:rRNA from 1 species
AUUGAACGCUGGCGGCGUGCCUAACACAUGCAAGUCGAGCGGUAACAGGUGUAGCAAUACAUGCUGACGAGCGGCGAACGGGUGAGUAAUGCUUCGGAAUCUACCCAAUGGUGGGGAAUAACCAGCCGAAAGGUUGGCUAAUACCGCAUACGUCCCACGGGAGAAAGCAGGGGAUCGCAAGACCUUGCGCCAAUGGAUGAGCCGAAGUCGGAUUAGCUAGUGGUAGGGUAACGGCCUACCAAGGCGACGAUCCGUAGCUGGUCUGAGAGGACGACCAGCCACACUGGGACUGAGACACGGCCCAGACUCCUACGGGAGGCAGCAGUGGGGAAUAUUGGACAAUGGGGGAAACCCUGAUCCAGCGACGCCGCGUGUGUGAAGAAGGCCUGCGGGUUGUAAAGC